UCUCAGCUUACCACUGCAGCACCAUGCUCCCUGCAACGAUAAUGUACUAAGCCUCUGAAACUCUAAGCAAGCCUCCAAGUAAACGCUUUCUUUCAUAAGAGUUCCCUUGGUCAGUGUCUCUUCACAGCAAUAAAACAAUGGCUAAGACAAAAAGAGUAAAGAAUAGAAUUAUCAACAAGAGAAGUUGAAGAAAAAAUUCUAAAGGCAUACCAUUCAAAAAUACACUAAGAGAAUGGAUGGGCCAGCAAGAUGGCUGGAGAGGUGGGGGAUGCUUACCAGCAAGCCUGACAACCUGACUUCAAUCCCCAGAAUCCACAAGCCAGUAAGAGAUUACAAGUAUGACACUCUAGUCUUCAAGUAGCAGAAACCAGUGCUGCAUCCCUAACAGGGCAACCGGAGUAUGGCAGAACUAGUCCAGAUCAGAUACCAGGUUCCAAUGCAUCCUAAGAGGGACAGUUAUCUUUCAUCAACCUUCCUUUGGGAUAUACAUUUGACCACAAUGCUGCAACCAGUUCUUCAUGCAGUAACUGGAGAGCCUACUUCUUUAAGAUUCCAGCAUAUACUGAAGACAGAAGAGACAGCCAGCCUCACAGACAGAACAACUACUGGAUUCUACUUUCUCUUGGUAGACAGCCAUUGCUGGACUAACUGAACCAUAGCCUGUAAGCCAUUCUAA